CGGCGUGCCUAAUACAUGCAAGUCGAGCGAACGGACGAGAAGCUUGCUUCUCUGAUGUUAGCGGCGGACGGGUGAGUAACACGUGGAUAACCUACCUAUAAGACUGGGAUAACUUCGGGAAACCGGAGCUAAUACCGGAUAAUAUUUUGAACCGCAUGGUUCAAAAGUGAAAGACGGUCUUGCUGUCACUUAUAGAUGGAUCCGCGCUGCAUUAGCUAGUUGGUAAGGUAACGGCUUACCAAGGCAACGAUGCAUAGCCGACCUGAGAGGGUGAUCGGCCACACUGGAACUGAGACACGGUCCAGACUCCUACGGGAGGCAGCAGUAGGGAAUCUUCCGCAAUGGGCGAAAGCCUGACGGAGCAACGCCGCGUGAGUGAUGAAGG
rnacentral:rRNA from 1 species